CAUGGACCUUGUCUCUAACUCAUCCGUAAUAUUUUGUUCUAUACCUUAUUCGUCAGGUGUUUGAAAUUAAACAAACAAAAAAUAGGAAGAAAAAAUUUAUAUUGGCCUUGAUAACGAAUCUUCUCGAAAUCGAUAUAGUACUGUUUUACUAUGCUGCUUUCGAAUGGUGGUACGGGGCUAGGGAAUCAUCCCUUCAAAGGAUCAAUAGGGAAGCGGCUUCAGUAAGAGGAUAUAAUCGAUUGCGUUGGGAAAGGUUUUUCGAAGGAACGUCCAACGGUUCAUACGGAUCAUGGGUCAAAGUUGAAUUUUUGCUCUAAUGCGGGAACGUUCCUUCGUAGAAAAGUAAGUUUCCUCGCCGAUUCUCUUUGGAUUCUAUUUUUUUGCAACUUCAGAAGGAUUCAAUGCAGUCGGGAAGGGAACGAUAAGGAAAACCUUAGGGCGAUUAAUAGUGAUUCCGAAAAAGAUGUUCUGCGAAUCAUUAUUGAAGAAGAAGAAGAGGAUGAAGAUGAAGAAGAAGGAGAUACAGGGGAUGAAGUAGUAGAGGAGAUAUACUAAACCAACCGAAGACGAAAACAGUUCCGAUAGCCUGGAGGUAUUGCAAAGGAGCCGAAUUGAUUUAUAUUUGAAUUGUAAUUCCAAAAAAGAUAAAAAAAUUUCAACAACGCUCCACCAGAUAAUAUAACAUUGCACAUCCAAAGUGAAAAGCAAUCACAUUGAUUCUAUCUAUUCUUACGUACAUACGACGAUACGAUUGUACAACAUGGAUAGUACAAAUGCCAGAAAAACAAUAAGAUUACUAUAUGAACACAUUUUCCUUUUUAAAAUUGCUUAUAAAUGGAAAAACAAUCAACGCUGUGUUUAUUUAAUGAUAAGAUAUUUUAGAGAUAUGAUAAAUUUUUUAUUCUAAAAUGUAAUGUCGAAUAUAAAGUCUAUAACAUAUUUAUUUAUUUUAUAAUAAUUUAUUGAAUAUUUUCGUAGAUUAUAUGCAGUCGAAGAAAGUAUUAUUAUUUAUAAGUGAAUUUAUCUCAUAUAUUCUAAAUGGUACGAAUCCCAAAUGGGAGUAAUUAUCCGAUAAGUACUAUAAUAUGGAAAUGAAAUCUUUUAAUAAAUCUUAUACAAAUAUAAUGUCAAAUUUAAUGAAUAUUAAUGGAAUAAUAGAAUGAUUAGUGAUAAAGAUGAUAGCUAGGGAUUAUUUCGCGUAUGAGACACACUUGCGUAUUACUGGGUCGCAAAUCCCGGAAGGAAUGACUUAACCUAGUUUAAUUAGCCACAUGUUAGCUGGAUAGAAGACCAAGCUUCCUAAAAUCUAAUUAUCUAACUAGAACGCAUGGGGAUAAAUAAUUUCCCCACUCCUAUAGUUAUGUAAUUAUAUGUAUAUAUACUCUAUGUUCAUGCGAAAUUAUCUGUGUAAUAUAUCAUGGAAUUUCCUAAUGAGAAUCUUACAAUAAUUCGUCUAUUUUUUAAUUGAAAUAAUCACAUAAAACUGUAAUUAUUUAUAAUAUAAUUAAUUAUUAUAAUAAUAAUUAUUGUAAUUAUGAAGACUAAUUCUUAUGAAGUUAAUCGGAUAUUAAUAUAGGAAAUUCGCACUGUUAUUUUUUUUGUAAGUCUGACUUAUGCUUAAUAGUAUUCUAUUAUCAGUAUUCUAUUAUUCAUAAUGAUAUUAUGGAUAUUAUAGUAUUCUAUUACCAGUAUUCUAUUAUUCCUAAUGAUUCUAUAUAGUAUUCUAUUAUUCAUAAUGAUAUCACUAUAAAUUUUCGUGCUACGUAUAUACUAUGUAAUUCUUAUAGUAAAAUCAUCUCUCUUAAAAAAUUUUUUCGUCGGAAGUUAUAUCUACUGCCAUAUUGCAUGAAAACAUUUUCUCCAAAUAUUAUUUCCUUUUCUUGUAAACAAAUGCAUAUUGCUCAAGUUAUCGAAGAUAGCAUUUUCGCUAUUCCAUAAUAAUAAAAAACGAAUUCGGAGAAAAUCUUUCGUCACAUUUAUGGUUUCCUAAUAUUACCUUCCCCUCUUUACCGUAUUUUCCCUUCGAGAGAACCACUCGGUUAGUUAAUCAAGAAAUGGUCAAAUUACCAAGUUAUAUGAAAAGAAUGUCAGUCGAUUUUAUGAAAAAGAAGUACGUUCACAACGGUCUGAGGGCUUCUAUAAACCACUUAAAGAGAGAGAUAAGGACUUGUCUGCAAUUGUACGCGAGUACGCUUCGUACGAUGCAAUGAUAUUUGAUGGAGUAAACAAGCAAUCAUGAAACUGAGGGGAGAUUUGCGAAGCUGAACUCGUGUCGUAUUGAAAUUUCUAGUGAAACAGAUAGUUCCCUACACUAAUAAGCCAAAAAAUCAGAAACGUAAUAUUCCUUUGGUAUAUAUCGUUUCGUGAUUUCGUAAUAUACAAUUUCAGUCUUCCAACCUGUUUACUUACUCAUUUCUUUUUCAUUAAGAGAAUGGCAAAAUUUCCAAACACGAGUAAGUUUCGUGCCAUAAGUAAUAUCGAAGGAGAAUUUUGGCUACAAGACAAACAUUAAAACAGACAUCUUAGAAAAAAAAAAUAUUAAUCGGGAAGAAAACGAUAGGAGUGAUAGUCAUUACAUCUAACAAAAAAACGGAAAGACCUCACGGAUAAUGCGAGGGAUGAUAAUGUUGGAAAAGAAUAGAUUCAACAUUUAUCACAGACAUCAUAGAAAAUUAUAAUGGACAAAAUUGCGAUUUUUCUGCAAAAAUAUAUGAUUCUCCAUGCCUACAAAUUCCCUUGUUAAGGGGUAUUGAUCGGCAUUUAACGAUUUGCUCGUUGAGGAAUACGUUCUCUCCUACCUAUCGUUCAGCACUUUCAUAUUGAACGAUUUAUUACUAACUCUCUCCGUGCACAUGCGCGUAUACGUGUUCCAGUCAAGUGGACGGAAAUGAGUGCGCGUGUUUGCGUACAUCUCCUCUCUUAUUUCGAAAACAAGGAUGGUAUUUUUUCAUUAGUUCUCCCUCAUCAAACCAAGCAGACAAUGCGAUAAUAGGAUUAACGGUAUAAUUCAAUUAUCUAUUUAGCUGUAUGAUUUCAUUUGUCUUUUGCGGAUCGAUAUACCACGGCUGAUAUGAUUCUUCCAUAUGAACGGAUAAAUUGUUCCGGAAAGUUACUCCCUAUUGGAGAAUGCAAAACAAUAAUACCAUUACACUUCUAAUUAUCUAAUCUAACGUAUAUAAGGUUCCAAAUCAAUUGGUUCCUUAGAAAAUAGGCUAUUGUUCUGCAAAAUAUGUAAGCUUGUUAUCAAACAAUGAAUCUAAAUAGGUUAUUGAAUUAUACAGCCAAUCUCCUAUUGUUUGCUUGGUUUGAUGACAGGAAAACAAAUGAAAAAAUACCUUCCUUAUUAUCAAAAUAAGGCAGGAGUUCUACGUACUCACGCACACUCAAUGCAAGCCACUCGAUCUGAUGCCGAUAGACGCGCACCAGAGCACACGUACAUGGAGAGAGAUAAUGGAGAAAGGUUUAAACGAAGGUACUUGAGGAUAAAUAUGGGAGAACGUAUUACGGACAUCCACUAUCACGAAAUUCCUUUCGUAAUAUACUAAAUGGUUUCAUUUUAAUUCCCCUGUGAUCCUUGCCCCGCGUGGAACGUCGGACGGCUCAUCGACAAAUCUUUUUGAGCACAAUCGCUUAUACCCUCCAACUGAAGCAGCUCACGGUUAGAUGCUUUGAAGAAGGAAGGUCCCUCCCAUUUCCCCGUACGAGGGUUCCAAGCUUUAUAAAACAGUGCCAUAUUGGUCUUUCGAAACUUCGUCGUCAAGCACAAUUUUCAACUGCCUCUUGAAACACUCUUCUGCUUCAAUAUGCUCGAAUAAUGUUCCACUAUAGAAAUAUUCUAGUCGCCAUGAUAAAAUCUCUGUAAAAAUUCAA